rnacentral:lncRNA from 1 species
AUUGGACCAAUGGAACUUUGCCAGCAAUUCCUCAACAGCUCCAAUCCAUUCUUCCACGAUCCACGUAUCCAGCAUGUCUAACAGGACCUCAUACUAUAAACCUAGGAUUAUUGAUGGGAACACGUUGUGAUCGUCUUGGUUUAUCAUGGUAUCAUCGCCUUCGCUCGAGGAAAUUAUAUAUUAUGACUUGUGGGCUCGGGAUUACGCUGCCAGUUUGCAACCCUCGGCCGGUUUAAGUCCUGCUCUUGUAUGAGCCGUUGAAGAGAAAAGCUUUGCAAUCAUGGCAGAGGGAUUGUGGGGCAUAAAGCAACUGUAGCAUAGAUGAAAAUGGAAUCGGAGAAUUUAUAAUGGUUCUUCAUCUGUAAUUGUAAGUAAUAAAACUGCAUGCAUUUGGUUUCUCAGUCAAUGAAAUGUAGUUUAAGCUUACACAAUUGGAUUUCAAGAAAAUUUAAUGUUGGGCCUUAAUGCUUAGCCAGUCCAAGUAGCCCAAGCCUGUGGCAGCCUAGACCCUUAAAAACUUAGCCCAAUCUGUGUACUUAGCAUCAAUAAUAAUAUAAAAUAUUCUCUAGACUAUAUUUGACAUUUUGACUUGAUUGCAUUGAUAAGAAUCCUAAUUUUUAUACUUUGUGG